GCGCUGAACAGCUCUCCAGGCCGGCCGCGCAGUCCACUCCCACGGUUCCCACGACUCCGGGAGAGACAGCGCAGGUGCUCGCUCCCUAAACACCGCUCCGGCGCACCUCUGCGCUGCGCUGCGCUGCGCUCAGCUCCAAGAGAAGCCCUGGCAGCGGCAUGGAGCCCUCAGAAAAUAUCAAGAACCUGCUGAUGCUAUAUGAGGAGGAAGCCGAGGAAUGGGCUGUGUACCUAAGAGACGUCCUCCUCCAUGUUGUAGAGAUGGAGGCGAUGCUGUUAUAUAGCUUGACCAACUCCUCUGACCGGCAUUUGGACUCGCUGGACUUAAACUCUUAUAAAUGCAAACUACUGAUAUUAUCAAAUAGCCUCCUGAAAGGUCUGACCCCCAGGAAAUGUCGUUUUUUGGACAGGCUGCUCCGUUCACCAGAGAGUGUGGUCAUCCUGCUCUGUGGAGUAAAGAGUUCAGAUGAGCUUUAUGAAUUAUUAACCGUCUCCCGAGGCAGCCGGGAGAUCUCUACUGAGCAGGAGCCGGAAGAUUACAUCUCAGUGAUCAGGAGCGUCAUACAAAGAGGUUCCCAGAAUUACUUUGAAGUUAGCAAUCCACUAGAAAUAGGAAUGGAACUCUAUACAAAAACAAAUAAAACAAGAAAGAUUGAGGCAGCAUCAGAAACUCCUGAAAGCAGUGUGUCAUCAGUACUAGUGCUACCAGCUAAAAUAUCCUGUGAGGAUCCUGGUGACAUAUUCAUUCUUUUGAAAGAUGAAAUAAUUGGUGACAACAUUGAAAUUGAAUUUGCUACAGACAGCAAGUGUGUUAGAACCCAACCACCUCUUUGGAGCAAGACAGUCAGGUGUAUGAAAGCUUUAGAUUUCCCUGCUGGCUCUGUCAAUGUAAAUGUCUACUGUGAUGGAAACAUUAAAGCAACAACGGAGAUUAUAUAUUACACAAUAGAAAAGAAGGUUGAACACCCACUCAAAGAGGUUGAUCCAAGAGAUGUGGUUCAACAGACCUCAUUAGAAGAACUUGAUACUGUUCUCACCUCCAUAUUCAAAGCUGAGAUACCACAUUAUGAUCUUAGAAACCUCCAACAAGAAAUGCACCAUCAAGAAAAUAAACAGCUUCAAGAACUUCCAAGCCUUCUCCAUUGUGCAGCAAAGUUUGGCUUAAAGAAUUUGGCUGUCCAUUUACUUCAGUGUUCAGGUGCAACUUGGGCAUCAAAGGCUAGAAACAUAGAAGGAGCAGACCCUGCACAUAUCGCUGAAAGUCAAGGUCAUGGGGAGCUCAAGAGAAUCUUUGAAGAAUUUUCAAUUCAUGAAGAUAACAGAAAUGAAGGUCUUGAAAGUGAGUAUGUAGAAAAAAUGGAAGAUUUGAUACCUGCAGCCUCUCCAUUUUGUUCUGCGAUGACGCCGCAUACAUCACAUCAUCAUGGAAGAGGGCAGAUCUACAAGGCAGAAGCAGAGGAAGAAAAAAAGGAAAGGGAAGAUGAUCAAGACGAUGAAGACAGUAGACAGGAGAGAGGCAGCGAGGUUGAGUCAGAUGAUGAGUUGUAUGUUGUUAUUGCUGAGAACAAUGAAGAAGGGGAUUCAAAAGAUGCCUUGUUCUCUGACAGACCUCCACUCCCCCCUCCUCGAGCUGUGGUUUCUCCCAUUGGACUAGAAAAGCCGCAUUGUCUGUUACCAGGGAAAAUACUAGAAGAACAAAGUGCACGAAGUCAGGCCUGGUGUGAUCUUGGAAUUAAAAAAGAGACAGAGGAGGAGCUGAAAAGGGAGAUGGAAAAGAAAGAAGAGGAUGAGGAAAAAGAAGAGGAAGACCCUUAUACAUCUGUAGAAAUUGAAGAGAAUGAAUAUGACAUAAUAUUGGCCAAUGGGAGUAUGAAGAAGAAAAUAGGCAGCAGGUCCUUCAUUAUAAACAGACCUCCAGCCCCGGCCCCAAGACCAAGAAGUGUUCCCAUUAAAGAGGAGACCAUACCUUUUAUAGCUCAAGUGUUUCAGCAGAAGACCACCAGACCCCAGCAUGAUGGUGACAAGCUCCAGGCUCCUGUCAAAAAGUCAGAUAGAAUCGGAAUGGACAAUCAACGGUGUUCUGCCCUGAAGUGCUGCAUACCCUCUGGCCAAGAAGAACUCAUUCUUUUGCAGGAAAAAGUAAAAACUGGAGAAAUUUCUAUGGAUGAAGCCUUGAAGAAAUUCAAACAGUGGCAAACUGAAAAAAGUGGACUGGAAGUUAUUCAGCAGGAAAAGUUACGACAGCUCCGAGACUGCAUUAUUGGGAAGAGACCAGAAGAAGAAAACUUCUAUGAUAAAAUCACCAUUGUGCACCAUCCAGAUUUUAAAGAUACUGCCCAAAGUGAAAACAUUUCGUAUGGAACACCUGUUACCAAUAAGCUUUCCCCUCGGUUCCAGGUAGAUAAGGAGUACGGUUUCUGUUGGAGAAAAGAUAAUUAAGGAAGUAAAAUCUCAACUACAUUAUGCAGAUCAAUUAAAAAACCAAGAAGGGAAUAUUCUAAUGGAGUCUAAAGGUCUAUAAAUGGAUCAAAUCUGUGUUUGGAUUACUUGAUUUUUCAAAGGCAAGCUUAUAUUAUGGCAAAAGAAAUUUCUCUCUCAAAUUGCCCUCGGAUAUAAGAAUUGUUACUGUCCACUCCAGAGUGUAAAAAUGAACAUUUCUGUCAUUAAGACAAAGUGAUAAUAAUAGCUAGUAUUUAUAUCGGGCUUUAAGGUUUG